GGACUAUCGUUGAUGGACAGUAAGUUAUCUAAAAGAUGAUAUGACAAAAUGAUGCUUGAAGGAUGAAAAUUGGAUUGUAGGAUCUCCCGGAAUCCUAGCUACCUGAAGCACAGAAGAUGACUUUGGUGCGGUUGUGUAGAUGCAGAAAAGCAGGUCUCUCAAAGGCUAAACAUAAUUAAAGAAAAGAAAAGAAAAGAAAAGAAUAAAAACAGCUUAGCAAGACAGUGCUGGAGCGACUUGCUUGAGAGAUUCUACAGCAGGUGCGGCACCAUGGAUAGAAGUUUCUGGCUACUAAGAUUGCAUCCAGUCAGCAGUGUAAGAGAAACCAGGCAUAGUAAUGCAUGUGAGGUGGGAACUUGGGAAAGAAUGCAAAGAGGGUUGAGAAUAAAUCCUCUUUCAAAAGUGCUGGCUAUUGGGGAAGAAAAAAGAUAAGGAGGAGAAGGAGAGCGUUUAAGCUAUAAAUUAGAGAGAACAAGCAAUUUUUCUUGGAUUAAGUAGCCAACUAAUUAGUCUGAACUUUGGAGUCCAAAAAAUUCCUGGGAUGCAUGUCUCUCUGCCUUCUUGUACGUCCUCCCAAGUCUAUUUUUAAAUUGAAUAUUGAUUUACAUGUAUCUAAGCCUAAGUUUGUUUGUUAUCUAUAUGACUGGGAAUUUUUACCAUUUCAUUGCAUCUGGUUAUUCUCUUUACAUGAAGCAGGAAUCAAUCUUUUUUCCUUAAAUGAUGUUAUUUUUUCGAUAGUCAACUGGAGGGUUACUUCAAAAAUCAUAAAUGGCUGUUAUGUUUGGUGGCUUGGUCUUUGAUUGGGCUAGCUAAGCAUAGAAUAAUUGAGGAGCUAAUUUUAUGGAAUUUCUAAGCUGUCAAGGCCAUCCAUUAUCAUUGGAUAGUUGUUGGG
rnacentral:lncRNA from 1 species